GGAAAAGAAGGAAACAACAAUAAAAACAAACAGAAAACAAAAAACAGUUCAGAAAAUUAAUGAUCGCACAAUUUAUAUGAUUGCUUAGCACUCUAACGGUAAGAAGAAAUUAUGAUCAGUUGGUUGUUAAUCUUUUUUAUUUUUUUAUUUUUUAUUUUUUUUGAGACAGAGUCUCGCUCUGUCGCCCAGGCUGGAGUGCAGUGGCGCGAUCUCGGCUCACUGCAAGCUCCACCUCCCGGGUUCACGCCAUUCUCUUGCCUCAGCCUGGUUGUUAAUCAUAACUUUAAUCAUUUAGGAGAAUUUCAAGACAAAACACAGGUUCAGUUACUUACCUAGGAAUAGGGCCCAGGCUGAAGACUGCUCUGUACCAUCCUAGAAGCAGGAAAAAACUCAAACUCUCCUUCCCUCCUUCCCUGUUAGAAGUGAACUGAAACCCCAGAAAGGAA
rnacentral:lncRNA from 10 species